rnacentral:rRNA from 1 species
ACGCUCGACACCUACGGGAGGUAGCAGUGGGGAAUAUUGCACAAUGGGGGAAACCCUGAUGCAGCGACGCCGCGUGAGCGAAGAAGUAUUUCGGUAUGUAAAGCUCUAUCAGCAGGGAAGAAACUGACGGUACCUGACUAAGAAGCACCGGCUAAAUACGUGCCUGCAGCCGCGGUAAUCUGAGCGGGCUGGCAAGGC